rnacentral:misc_RNA from 1 species
UUUUCAUUGUAAUCGCUUUCCAAUAAUUUUAUUGAAAAAAAAAAUUCCCUUAUUCAGAACACGCUGAAAAGAAGUGAAAACAAAUCAAAUUGGGAAUAAUAACAUUCUACAUUCCCUUACCCCUCAAUUCCUCAAUCAAGGAAUUAAAAUCAGAAUGAGAUGAUCCACCUACUUCAAUGGCUUUCCUUGCCAUUUCUCCAAGCUUUUUUGCUCUGAAUCUCAUUUCCUCUGCUUCUUCACUGGCCAUAAGAUGUGUCACUGCCUUCUUUAUGGCCUCUUUCUUCACACUAUCAUCUACUACUCUUGCCCACUGUUGUGCACCCACGGCAACCCCAAUUCCCAGAACCUGUGUCACCAACUUUUCGUUAUAAAACUGCUCUGCAGAUACUGGCCAUGUUACCAUUGGAACUCCUGCAGAAAUUGCUUCAAGUGUAGAGUUCCAUCCACAGUGAGUCACAAACCCUCCUACUGCUUCGUGUUCAAGAAUCAAUACUUGCGGUGCCCACCCUCGUAUGAUUAGUCCCUUGCCUUCAAUUCUCUCCUCAAAUCCUUCAGGCAACCACACUUCGUUAUCCCGCACAUCAUUCUUGUUUUUCCUCACUACCCAGAUGAAUUGCUGUCCGGAAUCUUCAAGAGCCAUUGCAAUCUCAAGAAGUUGUGAAGCAGGAAAUUUCGCAAUACUUCCAAAGCAUACAUAAACAACCGAGUUGUGUUUCUUUGAAUCGAGCCACUUCAAACACUGAUUUUCAUCUAUUGAAGCUUCUUUUCCUCUCUUUGCCUUAUCUUCAAUGUUACUGUUGCAUAGGCAAAUUGGGCCAAUAUGCCAUGCCUUUGCUCCCAAGACUUUCCUGAAAUGAUCAGCAUAAGUGGGCUCGAGCUCGUAGAAGCUGUUGACAAGAACCCCAAAACUUUUAAGCUCUGCUUCUUUCACUUGCUCAUAGAAUUCGGCGAAGCUAGUUUCUUCUUUCACAAAGUCUGGUAGUUGCUUUCUUGUCAACUUGAUCUGGCCUGGAAAAUUGGGGAUGAUGAAAGGAUCUGUAUCAGAUGAUACCUUUUUGUAAGGCUGAUACAAUCUCAUACACUGUGAAGCACAUGAAGAGAAGAAACAAGUUCCAGAGAAAACAAUUCUAGGAAUUCCUAACUUGGAUGCAACUCCAGUUGACCAUGGAAAGAAAGUAUCUGCAACUAGACAAUUGGGACGAUACUCUUUCAACAGCUCUUCGAGUGGUUGAACAAGCAUGGUGGUGGCCUUGAAGAAAUUUAUCCCCAUUUCAGGUGAUGUAACCAAGUCCAAUUGCUCACAUCCUUCUGGUAAUCCAGCCUCCACACAAGGGAAUUGGAUGAUUAGAAUGUCAAUUUUGUGACCCAUAAGUAUAUUUCUCUCUAUUGAUUUGCAUAAAACUGGGGCGUUGACAGGUGUGGUGAUUAUGCUUACCUUCAGGCCUCGCGAAGCAAAUAGUUUGGCCAUGUCUAUGAGGGGGAUGAUAUGGCCUUGAGCCAUGAAUGGGAAGAAGAAAACAUGAAGCUCAUGUCUUUUUUCACUGUCCAUUAGAUCUUGCAAAGAUGAUCUAACUGAAAGCUUAUUAAGCUAAAAUUUUGUUCCAAGAAAGAAGUCUUAAAAGGGUUGAGCUACAGAUUUGGAAAGGAAAUUCUUGCCUUUUGAUUUCCUUAUCAAGUGCCGUCCUCAAUCCUCUUGAAUAACAUCCGCCAGAUCAUGUUGACAUGACAUCAUCAAUCUGACAAAAGUAAAAAUGGCCGUCCGUUAGAUCAUGUAAAUUUGCGUCAUUACCUGUAAUACGGAUGUAGGCAACGACUCGCACCCCUAAGUUAAUUAUCCCCUCCAUCAAUGACCAGAAAAGGGUUGGAUCCUGCGAAAGUGGACAUCUGGUCUUUGUGGGGUGAUUGUUGUUUGUGGUAAUGGCUGGUUACUUGCUAUUCCGUGAACAAAAUAUCAUGGUGAUGUACAAGAUCUAUAACGGCGAGUUUCUGUGUCCUACAUGGUUCUCUUUGGAACUCAUUAGAAUCCUUUCGAAGCUUCUUAACGCAAUAACUCUGAAACUCGAAUCACAAUCCCCUAGAUAAUGGAGAAUGAGUGGCUCAAAAAGGAGUUCAAGCAUAUCAAAAUUUUCAUUGUGGAUGAUAAAGUUUUUAGUUUUGA